AUUGAACGCUAGCGGGAUGCCUUACACAUGCAAGUCGAACGGCAGCACGGACUUCGGUCUGGUGGCGAGUGGCGAACGGGUGAGUAAUGUAUCGGAACGUGCCCAGUAGCGGGGGAUAACUACGCGAAAGCGUAGCUAAUACCGCAUACGCCCUACGGGGGAAAGCAGGGGAUCGCAAGACCUUGCACUCUUGGAGCGGCCGAUAUCGGAUUAGCUAGUUGGUGGGGUAACGGCUCACCAAGGCGACGAUCCGUAGCUGGUUUGAGAGGACGACCAGCCACACUGGGACUGAGACACGGCCCAGACUCCUACGGGAGGCAGCAGUGGGGAAUUUUGGACAAUGGGGGAAACCCUGAUCCAGCCAUCCCGCGUGUGCGAUGAAGGCCUUCGGGUUGUAAAACACUUUUGGCAGGAAAGAAACGUCGCGGGUUAAUACCUCGCGAAACUGACGGUACCUGCAGAAUAAGCACCGGCUAACUACGUG
rnacentral:rRNA from 1 species